CCACAUCUCAUGCUGCCCACCCUGCAUUCCAAACCCUGGUCACAGCUCCAGAAAGAUGCACAUUUUAAAGCAGUACUAUUGUCUGGCUUGUAAGCCUAGUUUCUGGUAAAGAGAGAGAGAGAAUGAAUCUCAAGCAGGCACCACGCCGAAUGUGACCUUGGGAUCAUGACCUGAGCGGAAAUCAAGAGUCAGUUGUUCAACCAACUGAGCCACCCAGGCGCCCUGACCCAGCAGCCAUUUAAAGGUUUGUCCCUAUGGAUGCCUUCAUGAUUUCUCUCUAGCUUUCUCUAAAAAUGAAUUGGAGGAACGUCCGUGAUGCCUGGAACAUAUCAAUUCAAAGGUCAUGAGUUGAAAUGUGAUAACAACUCAGAUUACAGGAUUGUCAACUUCCAAGCUCCCAUGACCUUAACUGAAGGGCUGAAGGGUUGGGACGAGACCAAGAGGGCUUAACAACACUGUGAGCUGCCAUAGCAUUGGAUGUGCUGAGUGCUCAAAAUUCAGGUAUUGUCCGAUUAAUCCACAUAUUCUUUUACUACACACUUAGGGGAUGCUAUUAUAAGAUUCCCACCUCAGCUAGGAAUUCAGUUAGCUACCAGAUGCCCUCCUGCUGGGAUCCUGGCUUCUACAAAACAGCCACUGGCCCAUCUCAGGAGUGGUGUUUUAUCACUAUGCUAUGCUAGGCACUAGGGACCGGAAGGUGAAGAAAAGUGUCCUUCCCCCUAGGAGUUGCAGCCUAGCAGGCCCAUCAAUCAGGAUAGCACAGUGCGGUGUGCUACAGCACAGGCAGGGGCAAGGUGCCGUGUCCCCAAGGCAAGAGACAGGAGCUCUGCCUGACUGAAUCAGGAAGGUUUUCCAGGAGGCACAUCUAAGCCAGGUGUCAAGGGGUAAGCAAGAAUUUAUCUGGAGAAGAGGAGACUGGUUGUUUCGGGCAGAAAAAGUAGCUUAUACAGAGUCACGAAGACACCUAAGAAUAAGGUAUGACCAAAAAGUAAUGGCCCACGGGUGAUGGUGGGGCUAUAGCAGGAGGUGAGACUGGAGACGGCACUGGUGGGUCACAUAGGCCCUUCACUACCUGCUUUGGGUACUGGUGUUAGUAUUAGAGGUUCUCUUCCUGCAUGACAAAUCACCCCAAAACUUAGGUGCUUAAAACAACAAACGUGUAUUCUCUCACCAUUC